rnacentral:rRNA from 1 species
UACGAAGGGGGCUAGCGUUGCUCGGAAUUACUGGGCGUAAAGCGCACGUAGGCGGCUUUCUAAGUCGGGGGUGAAAUCCUGGAGCUCAACUCCAGAACUGCCUUCGAUACUGGAAGCUCGAGUCCGGGAGAGGUGAGUGGAACUGCGAGUGUAGAGGUGAAAUUCGUAGAUAUUCGCAAGAACACCAGUGGCGAAGGCGGCUCACUGGCCCGGUAACUGACGCUGAGGUGACGAAAGCUAGGGGAGCAAACAGG